rnacentral:rRNA from 1 species
GAUGAACGCUGGCGGCGUGCCUAAUACAUGCAAGUCGAGCGAACAGACGAGGAGCUUGCUCCUCUGACGUUAGCGGCGGACGGGUGAGUAACACGUGGAUAACCUACCUAUAAGACUGGGAUAACUUCGGGAAACCGGAGCUAAUACCGGAUAAUAUAUUGAACCGCAUGGUUCAAUAGUGAAAGACGGUUUUGCUGUCACUUAUAGAUGGAUCCGCGCCGCAUUAGCUAGUUGGAAAGGUAACGGCUUACCAAGGCAACGAUGCGUAGCCGACCUGAGAGGGUGAUCGGCCACACUGGAACUGAGACACGGUCCAGACUCCUACGGGAGGCAGCAGUAGGGAAUCUUCCGCAAUGGGCGAAAGCCUGACGGAGCAACGCCGCGUGAGUGAUGAAGGUCUUCGGAUCGUAAAACUCUGUUAUUAGGGAAGAACAAAUGUGUAAGUAACUAUGCACGUCUUGACGGUACCUAAUCAGAAAGCCACGGCUAACUACGUG